rnacentral:lncRNA from 10 species
ACCCUGUCUGUACUAAAAAUACAAAAAUUAUCAGGAUGUGGUGGUGGGUGUCUGUAAUCCCAGCUACUCUGGAGGCUGAGGCAGGAGAAUCACUUGAACCCGGGAAGUGGAGGUUGCAGUGAGCUGAGACCAUGCCAUUGCACUCCAGCUGGGCAAAAAGAGUGAAAUUCUGUCUCAAUAAAUAAAAGUUAAAAGAGGGAAGAAAUAAUAAGAGCUGGCGACUGGAUAAGCUUAAAAGAAGAAGGGAAAGUUACAAAGCUGCAAAAAAAUGGGGAACCUGGAGAGGAGAAACAAUGUGGUGGUAAAGAUGAUGAAUGUGGGCGCACUUGAGUUUGAAAGGGCAAAAAGAAGUUUGAGUGGCUAUGCUUUAGAUAUAUUCGCCCUUGGAUGAAAGGCUAAAUCUGGAGGAAUAGAUUUAGGCAUUUCCUGUACUUCACAGGUAUGAAUUUGCAAAGUUAGCUCUUUAGAGGUGAUAUUAGUUGCUUCUCAGUAUACUACUUGCAGUUUGAAUAGUACCAUGCCACCAGAUGCCUAGUUCGUGAAUGCCUAGUGAGACUGAAUAAUAACAUACAACAUAACAAAUGAUCUCAUUCAUUUAUGCCUUUUUCUUUCAAAAGUAGAGAGCU